AACGAACGCUGGCGGCAGGCUUAACACAUGCAAGUCGAACGCCCCGCAAGGGGAGUGGCAGACGGGUGAGUAACGCGUGGGAACAUACCCUUUUCUACGGAAUAGCUCUGGGAAACUGGAAUUAAUACCGUAUGUGCCCUUCGGGGGAAAGAUUUAUCGCCUUUGGAUCAACCCGCGUCUGAUUAGCUAGUUGGUGAGGUAAAGGCUCACCAAGGCGACGAUCAGUAGCUGGUCUGAGAGGAUGAUCAGCCACACUGGGACUGAGACACGGCCCAGACUCCUACGGGAGGCAGCAGUGGGGAAUAUUGGACAAUGGGCGCAAGCCUGAUCCAGCCAUGCCGCGUGAGUGAUGAAGGCCUUAGGGUUGUAAAGCUCUUUCGCCGGUGAAGAUAAUGACGGUAACCGGAGAAGAAGCCCCGGCUAACUUCGUGCCAGCCGCCGCGGUAACAC
rnacentral:rRNA from 1 species